AGAGUUUGAUCAUGGCUCAGAGCGAACGCUGGCGGCGUGCUUAACACAUGCAAGUCGAACGCGCAGCAUUCUGUAGCAAUACAGGGUGUGGGCGCGUGGCGAACGGGUGCGUAACACGUGGAUAACCUUCCUUGAGGUGGGGAAUAACCCAGUGAAAAUUGGGCUAAUACCGCAUAACAUCGCGAUGGCACAUGCUGAUGCGAUCAAAGGCGCAAGUCGCCACAAGAGGGAUCCGCGGCCGAUUAGCUUGUUGGCGAGGUAAUGGCUCACCAAGGCAAUGAUCGGUAGCCGGACUGAGAGGUUGGCCGGCCACACUGGAACUGAGACACGGUCCAGACUCCUACGGGAGGCAGCAGUGGGGAAUCUUGCACAAUGGACGAAAGUCUGAUGCAGCAACGCCGCGUGGGGGAUGAAGCUUCUCGGAGUGUAAACCCCUUUCGACCCGGAAGAAUGCCCGCAAGGGUAUGACGGUACGGGUAUAAGAAGCCCCGGCUAACUACGUGCCAGCAGCCGCGGUAAUACGUAGGGGGCCAGCGUUGCUCGGAAUUAUUGGGCGUAAAGGGUCCGUAGGCGGUGUAGCAAGUCGAUAGUGAAAUCUCUGGGCUUAACCCAGAGGCUGCUAACGAAACUGCUGUGCUAGAGUGUGAGAGAGGCGAGUGGAAUUACGGGUGUAGCGGUGAAAUGCGUAGAUAUCCGUAGGAACAUCCGAGGCGAAGGCGGCUCGCUGGAUCACAACUGACGCUGAGGGACGAAAGCUAGGGGAGCAAACAGGAUUAGAUACCCUUGUAGUCC
rnacentral:rRNA from 1 species